GAGUUUGAUCCUGGCUCAGAACGUACGCUGUCGGCACGCCUAACACAUGCAAGUCGAACGAAGUAGCAAUACUUAGUGGCAGACGGGUGAGUAACAUGUAGGUAUCUACCCUUUGGCCUGGAAUAACACGAGGAAACUUGUGCUAAUACUGGAUAAGUCUUUACGGAGAAAGCUUUAUGCACCAUUGGAUGAGCCUGCACUUGAUUAGUUUGUUGGUGGGGUAAUGGCCUACCAAGACUGUGAUCAAUAGCUGAUUUGAGAGGAUGAUCAGCCACAUUGGGACUGAGACACGGCCCAAACUCCUACGGGAGGCAGCAGUGGGGAAUCUUGCACAAUGGAGGAAACUCUGAUGCAGCGAUGCCGCGUGAGUGAAGAAGGCCUUUGGGUUGUAAAGCUCUUUCGUCGGGGAAGAAAAUGACUGUACCCGAAUAAGAAGGUCCGGCUAACUUCGUGCCAGCAGCCGCGGUAAUACGAAGGGACCUAGCGUAGUUCGGAAUUACUGGGCUUAAAGAGUUCGUAGGUGGUUAAAAAAGUUGGUGGUGAAAUCCCAGAGCUUAACUCUGGAACUGCCAUCAAAACUUUUUAGCUAGAGUAUGAUAGAGGAAAGCAGAAUUUCUAGUGUAGAGGUGAAAUUCGUAGAUAUUAGAAAGAAUACCAAUUGCGAAGGCAGCUUUCUGGAUCAUUACUGACACUGAGGAACGAAAGCAUGGGUAGCGAAGAGGAUUAGAUACCCUCGUAGUCCAUGCCGUAAACGAUGUGUGUUAGACGUU
rnacentral:rRNA from 1 species